rnacentral:rRNA from 1 species
CGCGUAGGCGGGCAUUCAAGUCUGUGGUGAAAUCCGGCAGCUUAACUGUCGAAUUGCCGUGGAUACUGGGUGUCUCGAGGAAGGUAGGGGCGUGCGGAACUAAUGGUGGAGCGGUGAAAUGCGUUGAUAUCAUUAGGAACUCCGGUGGCGAAGGCGGCACGCUGGACCUUUUCUGACGCUGAGGCGCGAAAGCCAGGGAGCAAACG